ACAACGAAUCACCCUGAAUGUGCCGAAUCGUGUCGCAUCACGGAAGCUAAGCAGAGGUUGAGACUGGUUGGUGCUUUGAUGGGAGACUUCCUGGGAAUUACCCUGUUCUGUA
rnacentral:rRNA from 1 species